rnacentral:lncRNA from 1 species
CGGAAUGAGAGGCCUAGGAGGGCACUAAGGGUCCUGAGAGGGGACAAAUUCCCAUGCCCUUUUUUUUCCUGUAUUUCACUGCAGCUUUCAGCAAGGAAAUGAGUUUGAGCAGCCCAGCAAGGACUUGGAGACUCCUACCGCUGCAGAACACACCUUCUACUCUGAAGAACCCAGGACAGAUCACUGGCCACUUGCUCCCUCAAGCAUCGAUGAGACAGCCAGUCACACUCCUGAACUCUGGCUGGAACAUUUAAUGUUAGACUCAAAUGAGCAAUUGCCAUUCAAUCCAGAGCAGUUGGUCUACAAGGAAUUCAACUUCCAGGAGCCCUUUUGGGAUUUGGCAAAGGAAGAGUCCAGCGGUGGUAAUCGGGGUCCUCACCAGAUCCCAAGUCCAGGUUACCAAGAAGUCACGUACAAGAACCCCCUGGGGGUGACGAUUGAGGCUAGUUCAGAAGUCGACUGUGGACUGGCCAGCUUAGAAGAGGGAAGUUUCGCCCUUGGAGAGCAACUGAGUACCCUGGAGUCCAUUUUUCCUCAAAGUUCACCUCAGGUGACACCAGCGACCCUUCAUAUGCCCACUCUGUGGCCAGAUUCCUGGUAGAGGCGGGAACCCAGGACUUGGAAAUCAGCCAGGGCCUGGUGGAGAACCCCCUCAGAGAGCUGACUUCCAGUGAUUUUUUGUUGAAAUGCAUAGAAGCCUCCGUGGCAAAAUGGAUUUCUCAGCAAACGGGGACUGUUACCAAGUUAGCUUUGAUGAGUUUUGCCCAUCAGAGACUCUUCAGUUGUUGCACCUGAGGAGAGCCAUCCCUGUAGUGAUGGUUCUAGGUGUUUUAAUGAUUUAGGUGUUUCUCCUGAGGGAAGGAAGGUGGGCUUGAGGCUGGGAGAUUCUACUUUCGAAGUUAAUAACGAGGCUAUGGAAAGUUGGGGAUCAAGAAGAGGAGCCUACCUCAGAGUUUUCAGUUCCGAUAAACAUUGAAAUAAAACACAAGGUAGCAAAGUUCUAUUAGGUCUCCCAGAGGGAGUUUAAUCUCAGAAACAUCACCCUGAGCCCACAUUUUAUGUGGAUUUCUCAGUCAGCCUAUGCACAAAUGAUUUAGUGAGUAAAAAAGACGCGGUCCAGGCAGAAGUGACAUGACUUAAUGUCACUGGAAAUUUUGGACUUAGGGGUGUGGCAGCCUCUCCAGAGGCCAGGAUUUGUUUUGGUUGAUUAUUUUCCUCAAUCCAGGACAUGGAGUCCUAGAUUCACAACUUUUCUAGAUUCUUUAACUCCAAUCAUCUAGAAUUCCUCUAGAGCUACUUCCCAGGACUCGGGGAGGUGAAGGAGAGAAAGAAUAUCUCCUGAUUUAGGAUCAGAUCAACUAAAGGUAUUUACUGCUAGGCCAAUCCUUUAGUUAGAGUGAAUUGGCCCAAUUGCCUUUGGCCUCUUUCCUUAGGAAUCCUCAUCUUUCCCAUCUGAGUGGCAGAGCAUCUUGGGUCCAGCUGAAUCAGCCAGAAUGACCUGAGUCCAAGGGCAGUGAUUUAAGGAGUGGGAACUAAUGCCCUCUCCUUAAGCUUCCAGACUGAGUCUACUUGAGUGACAACCCUGCCCUGACUGAUUUAUUCCAGGCCACCCACCCAACAAGGAACAGCUCUGUGUACUGCCUAAUUUGGAAGUAACUCACCUCGUUGUUGAUUUUAUGGGACUAGUGAUGACCUUCACCGCUGAUUGGUAAAAGGUCUUCCUAUGAGAUAAAGCAGGUGUGGGAAAUUGGCAGGAAAUGUCUGCAUUUGUGGUUGUAAGGGAAGGAAAUGUUUACAAAAUAAAAGUUGUUGAAAACCCA